UAACUGACUGUAAUCUUGCCUUAACAGUAGAGUAACAUUUGUUUCUGAUCUAAUAUUGCAGUCAUAUUCAACAAAAUGAUCAGGAGUUUAUUAUGCACCUGAUGUACACCUGAUUAGAAUGUCAUUGUACCGUAAAACUCAACGUUCUUGACACAGGAGUUGCAGAAGUGGCUGCUAAGGUAAAUGUAGAAGAAGAAGGCAUUAGAAUAUGUGUGUACUGUUCAAGCAGUAGAGAACAGCCCUGGGGUUGCUGAGACGCAUGCACAAAUAGAGAGG
rnacentral:lncRNA from 1 species